UACGGAGGGUGCAAGCGUUGUUCGGAAUCAUUGGGCGUAAAGCGCGUGUAGGCGGCUUGGCAAGUCGGUUGUGAAAGCCCGGGGCCCAACCCCGGAACUGCAUCCGAAACUGCCUGGCUAGAGUCCCGGAGAGGAAGGCAGAAUUCCCGGUGUAGGGGUGAAAUCCGUAGAUAUCGGGAGGAAUACCAGCGGCGAAGGCGGCCUUCUGGACGGUGACUGACGCUGAGACGCGAAAGCGUGGGGAGCAAAACGG
rnacentral:rRNA from 1 species